UGAGUAACGCGUGGGUAACCUGCCCUUAAGUCUGGGAUACCAUUUGGAAACAGAUGCUAAUACCGGAUAAAAGCUACUUUAGCAUGAAAGAAGUUUAAAAGGCGGCGUAAGCUGUCGCUAAAGGAUGGACCUGCGAUGCAUUAGCUAGUUGGUAAGGUAACGGCUUACCAAGGCGAUGAUGCAUAGCCGAGUUGAGAGACUGAUCGGCCACAUUGGGACUGAGACACGGCCCAAACUCCUACGGGAGGCAGCAGAA
rnacentral:rRNA from 1 species